rnacentral:lncRNA from 10 species
GGAGAGAGGAAACAGGGCAAUGGAAUGAACACUUCUCAAGAAUCUCUCAGGUGCCACGGACUGAGCCAGGUGCCUUCCAUGUGUUAUCUCAUUUUACAGGGCAGGUAACAUUUCUGAAAGGUCAGGCAGCUAAAAAGCAGACAGCUUUCUGGCACAUUAGAGAAACAAAAGAAAUGUUGGAGACUGGAAUGCCUGCUGUGUCAAGGCACCUAAUUAGAAAACAACGUCAGAGUGAAUUUGUCGUGCGAGUCUCCAGCUCUGCCAGAAGAACUAAAAGAAAUGUGUCACCAGAGGAAUCACAAAGUAAAGUCUAUUAUUGUUCUGGGGAUUCUGGGGAUUCGAUGCACAAAUCAGAGGUCUGACAGGGGAUGGGGCAUGUGUUACGUCUUAGUAAUGUGCUAAAUGGUAGUGCUUCCAGAUUCCCCACAGAAUCCUACUGCAGUCAGAGAUCUUGAUGUCGGUUGAACUUAUCUAUUUAUAACGAGGAAACAUUAAGGUAACUCAAACCAACAAAAUAAAACAGGUUGACAGUGACUAAGCAACAACAGAGUGCUAGAUUUAUGUAGAGAUUCUUUCUUUCAAGUUGCUGAGACAUUUCACAAAGGAGAACCGUAGAUUAUCAUCAACUUCCAUUUGGGGACUUAGAAAUCCACCAAAGACAAAGACAAUGUUGGUAUCAUUCCUUCCAGCUCUUGGCUGAAACUGUUCUUUCCUAUGUCACCAGUGAACUUCUACUGGCCAACGCCCAAAGAAUACUUUCUCAGUUUUAGUUUAGAGACCUCUCUAUUCCACUUGCAUGGUUAGACACUAACUGCUGGAAACUUCCAAUCUGAAACACUCCCUGGGAAAUGUCUUAUUUGCAAAUUUUACAGCUAAAAUCCCUCCUCCA